rnacentral:rRNA from 1 species
GACGAACCGUGCGAACGUUGUUCGGAAUCACUGGGCUUAAAGGGCGCGUAGGCGGCUCAUACAGUCAGAUGUGAAAUUCCUGGGCUUAACCUGGGGGCUGCAUUUGAUACGUGUGGGCUUGAGUGGGGAAGAGGGUCGUGGAAUUCCCAGUGUAGAGGUGAAAUUCGUAGAUAUUGGGAAGAACACCGGUGGCGAAGGCGGCGACCUGGUCCUUGACUGACGCUGAGGCGCGAAAGCGUGGGGAGCAAACAGG